UACAGAGGAUGCAAGCGUUAUCCGGAAUGAUUGGGCGUAAAGCGUCUGUAGGUGGCUUUUUAAGUCCGCCGUCAAAUCCCAGGGCUCAACUCUGGACAGGCGGUGGAAACUACCAAGCUUGAGUACGGUAGGGGCAGAGGGAAUUUCCGGUGGAGCGGUGAAAUGCGUAGAGAUCGGAAAGAACACCAACGGCGAAGGCGGCUCUCUGGAACGCAACUGACGCUGAGACGCGAAAGCGUGGGGAGCAAACAGG
rnacentral:rRNA from 1 species